rnacentral:sRNA from 1 species
UUUUUAUGUGUGAUUACUUUUUCCGUCUCCUUCAUUUAGUUUAGA